UCAAAACAGCGGCCUCGGGCCUCGCUGCACCCUUGUCUUUUGCGCACCGUAUUGUUUCCUCGGCGGGCUUGCCUGCCGGUUGGACAUCAUAAAACCUUUUUGUAGUUGCAAUCAGCGUCAGAAAAACAAUAAUUAUUA
rnacentral:misc_RNA from 1 species